UACUGCUCAGUAACACGUGGACAAUCUGCCCUGAAGAAGAGAAUAAUCCCGGGAAACUGGGGGUAAUGCUCUAUAGUCCGGGAGGACUGGAAUGUCCUCCGGAUGAAAGAUCCGUCGCUUCAGGAUGAGUCUGCGGCCGAUUAGGUAGUUGUUGGGGUAAAAGCCCAACAAGCCUGUAAUCGGUACGGGUUGUGGGAGCAAGAGCCCGGAGAUGGAUUCUGAGACACGAAUCCAGGCCCUACGGGGCGCAGCAGGCGCGAAAACUUUACAAUGCGGGCAACCGUGAUAAGGAAACCCCGAGUGCCACCACAGGGUGGCUGUCCACCAGUGUAAACAACUGGUGAAGAAAGGGCCGGGCAAGACCGGUGCCAGCCGCCGCGGUAAUACCGGCGGCUCGAGUGGUGGCCGCUUUUACUGGGCUUAAAGGGUCCGUAGCUGGAUCUGUGUGUCCCUUGAGAAAUCCAUCGGCUUAACUGAUGGGCGUUCAGGGGAAACUGCAGUUCUAGGGACCGGGAGAGGUGAGAGGUACUGCCGGGGUAGGAGUGAAAUCCUGUAAUCCCGGUGGGACGACCUAUGGCGAAGGCAUCUCACCAGAACGGCUCCGACAGUGAGGGACGAAAGCUGGGGGAGCAAACCGGAUUAGAUACCCGGGUAGUCCCAGCUGUAAACGAUGCGCAUUAGGUGUGUCAGUGACCACGUGUCACUGAGGUGCCGAAGGGAAACCGUGAAAUGCGCCGCCUGGGGAGUACGGUCGCAAGGCUGAAACUUAAAGGAAUUGGCGGGGGAGCACA
rnacentral:rRNA from 1 species